AUUGAACGCUGGCGGCAUGCCUUACACAUGCAAGUCGAACGGCAGCGGGGACUUCGGUCCGCCGGCGAGUGGCGAACGGGUGAGUAAUGUAUCGGAACGUACCUUUCAGUGGGGGAUAACGUAGCGAAAGUUACGCUAAUACCGCAUAUUCUCUGAGGAGGAAAGCAGGGGACCUUCGGGCAUUGCGCUGCUAGAGCGGCUGAUAUCAGAUUAGCUAGUUGGUGGGGUAAAGGCUCACCAAGGCUACGAUCUUUAGCGGGUCUGAGAGGAUGAUCCGCCACACUGGAACUGAGACACGGCCCAGACUCCUACGGGAGGCAGCAGUGGGGAAUUUUGGACAAUGGGGGCAACCCUGAUCCAGCCAUGCCGCGUGAGUGAAGAAGGCCUUCGGGUUGUAAAGCUCUUUCGGCCGGGAAGAAAUCGUGUGGGCUAAUACCCUGCAUGGAUGACGGUACCGGAAUAAGAAGCACCGGCUAACUACGUGCCAGCAGCCGCGGUAA
rnacentral:rRNA from 1 species